CCUACGGGUGGCAGCAGUGGGGAAUAUUGCACAAUGGGGGAAACCCUGAUGCAGCGACGCAGCGUGAGGGAAGAAGGAUUUCGGGAUGUAAAGCUCUAUCAGCAGGGAAGAAAAUGACGGUACCUGAUUAAGAAGCCCCGGCUAACUACGGGCCAGCAGCCGCGGUAAUACGUAGGGGGCAAGCGUUAUCCGGAUUUACUGGGUGUAAAGGGGGCGUAGACGGCAGCACAAGUCUGGAGUGAAAUGCCGGGGCUUAACCCCGGAACUGCUUUGGAAACUGUGCAGCUAGAGUGCAGGAGAGGUAAGUGGAAUUCCUAGUGUAGCGGUGAAAUGCGUAGAUAUUAGGAGGAACACCAGUGGCGAAGGCGGCUUACUGGACUGUAACUGACGUUGAGGCUCGAAAGCGUGGGGAGCAAACAGGAUUAGAUACCCUAGUAGUC
rnacentral:rRNA from 1 species